rnacentral:lncRNA from 1 species
AAGAGCCACCGCUCAGGAAGACGCGCCACAGCUCUUUAGGAAGUUGGGUCGCAGUUGAUGUGAAGCCAUGUCCCCGCUUUACCUUAGAUGGGUUUUAUCAGAUUCUACUUUGGUUUAUAGACCUGUCUGACGAAUCCAUAUUCUGUGACAUAUUUUCCAUUUUUCUGUAGAAUCUUCAUUUGCUUACGAGCCAGCCGUCAGGAGUUUCCACCAAGUUCUGUCCUCAGUCCUCUGGUAUGAGAGUCACAGAUCAGCUGUCUGCCGACCAAAACCAGAAGGGUAUCAGCUCAGCGGCUCCUUCAAGGUGUUCAGUUCCACAGUGUGACCAACAGGCCUCGGUUCUACAGAAAAUGGAGCGUAAAAGGAAACACCUCCCAAAGGAAAACAUAACCAACGAAAACAACAGAGAAAGCACGAAUCUUACAGGAAACCAUGUCUCAUGUAACAAUUCAUCAGCAAAAACAAGUAAACUUGUGAUAUUGGAAGAAGGUGCUGGUGAGGUCGAAACCUACCUCAAUUCCAGGCACCGAAAGGCAUUCACAACUGAUUUCUGCGACAUCAGACACUUGGAUGCUUUGGAGCAAAGCCGGCUGACCGAGAUGCUCAAGCAGGCAGCCACCGUGGUGGUGACUCUGCUGUAUGAGGACGGCUCCACCCAGCUGAGAGCUGGCCAGGCUCUGGUUUCCUCUGUUAAAGGCAUUGUGAUGUUACUGAGGAGCCAUCCAGAGGAAGGCAGCAGUCCUCUGACCUCCCCAGCCUCCGACAAUGUUCUGGAGGACACGCCCAGUGAUCAGUGUAUCUACAUAAAAACUGAGCACUCCCCUAUCUGGGGCCAAGAGCAAGAGGCACAUCAUCAAUUUGCCAAGUAA